rnacentral:tRNA from 1 species
GCUGACUCUGGCGUUUGGGGCGGCAAUGCUGGCGAUCUACGCGAUCGCGGCGGAGCAAUUGUGGUCGAUGCUGAUGAUCGUGACGUUGAUCGGCA